GUUUGAUCUGGCUCAGGACGAACGCUGGCGGCGUGCCUAAUACAUGCAAGUCGAGCGGACCGAAGGGAGCUUGCUCCUUUAGGUUAGCGGCGGACGGGUGAGUAACACGUGGGCAACCUGCCCUGCAGACUGGGAUAACUUCGGGAAACCGGAGCUAAUACCGGAUAACACCGAAAACCGCAUGGUUUUCGGUUGAAAGGCGGCUUUUAGCUGUCACUGCAGGAUGGGCCCGCGGCGCAUUAGCUAGUUGGUGAGGUAACGGCUCACCAAGGCGACGAUGCGUAGCCGACCUGAGAGGGUGACCGGCCACACUGGGACUGAGACACGGCCCAGACUCCUACGGGAGGCAGCAGUAGGGAAUCUUCCGCAAUGGACGAAAGUCUGACGGAGCAACGCCGCGUGAGCGAAGAAGGUCUUCGGAUCGUAAAGCUCUGUUGUCAGGGAAGAACAAGUACCGUUCGAACAGGGCGGUACCUUGACGGUACCUGACGAGGAAGCCACGGCUAACUACGUGCCAGCAGCCGCGGUAAUACGUAGGUGGCAAGCGUUUGUCCGGAAUUAUUGGGCGUAAAGCGCGCGCAGGCGGUUCCUUAAGUCUGAUGUGAAAUCUNGGCGGCUCAACCGCGAGCGGCCAUUGGAAACUGGGGAACUUGAGUGCAGGAGAGGGGAGCGGAAUUCCCCGUGUAGCGGUGAAAUGCGUAGAGAUGUNGAGGAACACCAGUGGCGAAGGCGGCUCUCUGGCCUGUACUGACGCUGAGGCGCGAAGCGUGGGGAGCGAACAGAUACAUACCCUGGUAUUCCCGCCUAAACGAUGAGUGCUAAGUGUUAUAGGUAUCACCCUUUAAUGCUGCACCAAACCUUAAG
rnacentral:rRNA from 1 species